CAGUCUCACUAAAGAACUAAGGAUGCUCUUCUCUCCUAAUGAAGUUGUGUUUACUUCUCAGGUAGGGACAGUGAGAGAGAAUCAUGCCAUUCAAAUAGAAGUUUUAUUCUCAGCAUCCAGCACAUCAAUUCACCAUAGUAGAAGCUCGAAGGAAGGAUACGUCUAUUGAGAAAUUGCACGCCAAGUAAAAUCCUGAGAUAAACAACUUUAUGCAAGAGAAACUGACAGUUUACCAUACAUUUUUGGAAUUUAAAGAGUUGUUGUGGUGUGCUUUCUUUUUGUGCAAAUUAUGGAAUAGAUGAAAGUGACAGAGUGAUGACACCACCUAAAUGGAAGCAUAAUGUAGACGGUUAUUGCAGAUGCCUGACCACACAGCUCUGCCAGCGCACAUGCUUCCUGCAAACCUCCUGCAAUUUAAACCCUUGGGCUCCUUCAACUAAUGAUGCUAAUUUGCCAAUGGAGCAAUGGCUUUCUUCGCUAAACACUCACCUACAAAGGAGU
rnacentral:lncRNA from 10 species